rnacentral:rRNA from 1 species
CAAUAGCGUAUAUUAAAGUUGUUGCAGUUAAAAAGCUCGUAGUUGGACCUUGGACCUGGACAGGCGGUCCGCCUCACGGCGUGUACUGUCUUGCCGGGUCUUUCCUCUUGGUGAUCUGUUGUUUCGGCAGCAGGGAACCAGGACUUUUACUUUGAAAAAAUUAGAGUGUUCAAAGCAGGCUCGACGCCGGAAUAUAUUAGCAUGGAAUAAUAAAAUAGGACGUGCGGUUCUAUUUUGUUGGUUUUUGGAAUCGCCGUAAUGAUUAAUAGGGACAGUCGGGGGCAUUAGUACUCACAUGCUAGAGGUGAAAUUCUUGGAUUUUGUGAAGACUAACUUCUGCGAAAGCAUUUGCCAAGGAUGUUUUCAUUAA